rnacentral:rRNA from 1 species
CGAACGAAAAGAGGGAAAGAGCUUGCUCUUUCCGGGAUUGAGUGGCAAACGGGUGAGUAACACGUAAACAACCUGCCUUCAGGAUGGGGACAACAGACGGAAACGACUGCUAAUACCGAAUAAGUUCCAAGAGCCGCAUGGCCCAUGGAAGAAAAGGUGGCCUCUACCUGUAAGCUAUCGCCUGAAGAGGGGUUUGCGUCUGAUUAGCUGGUUGGAGGGGUAACGGCCCACCAAGGCGACGAUCAGUAGCCGGUCUGAGAGGAUGAACGGCCACACUGGAACUGAGACACGGUCCAGACUCCUACGGGAGGCAGCAGUGGGGAAUCUUCCGCAAUGGGCGAAAGCCUGACGGAGCAACGCCGCGUGAGUGAUGACGGCCUUCGGGUUGUAAAACUCUGUGAUCCGGGACGAAAAGGCAGAGUGCGAAGAACAAACUGCAUUGACGGUACCGGAAAAGCAAGCCACGGCUAACUACGUGCCAGCAGCCGCGGUAAUACGUAGGUGGCAAGCGUUGUCCGGAAUUAUUGGGCGUAAAGCGCGCGCAGGCGGCUUCCCAAGUCCCUCUUAAAAGUGCGGGGCUUAACCCCGUGAUGGGAAGGAAACUGGGAAGCUGGAGUAUCGGAGAGGAAAGUGGAAUUCCUAGUGUAGCGGUGAAAUGCGUAGAGAUUAGGAAGAACACCGGUGGCGAAGGCGACUUUCUGG